AUCACUAAUCAAAGAGCAUUUGGUGAAUGCAGCUUUGCGCAUCCUUUGGUAAAGUUAGUACUGUUAAGGUAGGAAAACCAGAGGCUUUGGGAUUCUUGAGGUAAGGAGGAGGAUUUGACAGGGAAAUCUGGAGACAUCUAAGCAAGGCAACAUUGGAGAGGCUGUAGCAGCAGAACUCCGGGCGCUGUGCCAAUUGCUCCUACUGUGCUAACGACAGCAGGAGGACAAAGCCUCAACAAAGCCCAGACACCUCUACCUUUUCAGGUAGUAUUUUAAAGGUAGGUUUUACAAGAUGGAUAUUUUUGUGUUGCUUUUUUUGAUGAGAAACAAAUAAAAGGCUUCCUUGUUCAAGAAGCAAUACAUUCGAACUCUGCCACUUAAGCAGGUGUAAAAUUAGAACGACAGAGGGGUCUGGAAUAUUUCUGCCACCAGCUCUUUGACACCUGUUGACCAAUCAUUCAGAGGAAACCUUGGGAGUUGAAGACACUCCAGUUCCGAGGACAUUCCUUCCCGAAAUAGGUUUUAUCAAAUUGCUGUGGCAAAAGAAGCAACAGGGUGGGCAGACUCCCGGCUGCGUGGCUCCGCUACUGUCCCUAACGGUUGGCAUUUUGUCAGUGUCUAAAUCCUCUGUUGCUCCAACAGCUGAUUU
rnacentral:lncRNA from 1 species